rnacentral:tRNA from 1 species
GGCCCCAUAGCUUAGCCUGGCGAUCUUUUUUGGCGGGCAAUAAAUGACCGACAAAGGAUCGGGAAUUGGAGCGCUGGUCUUAUAAGCCAGUGGUCGCGAGUUCGAAUCUCGCUGGGGCCA